rnacentral:rRNA from 1 species
AUUGAACGCUGGCGGCAGGCUUAACACAUGCAAGUCGAACGAGUGGCGGACGGGUGAGUAAUGUCUGGGAAACUAGCUGAUGGAGGGGGAUAACUACUGGAAACUGUAGCUAAUACCGCAUACCAUCGGAUGAGCCCAAGUGGGCUUAGGUUGUUGGUGGGUUAACGGCUCACCAAGGCGACGAUCACUAGCUGGGCUGAGAGGAGGACAAGCAACACUGGAACUGAGCCACGGCACAGUCUCCUACGUGAGGAAGCAGUGGGGAAUAUUGCACAAUGGGGGAAAGCCUUACGCAGCCAUGCCGCGUGUAUGAAGAAGGCCUUCGGGGUGUAAAGUACUUUCAGUGGGGAGGCGUUACCCGCAGAAGAAGCACCGGCUAACUCCGUGCCAGCAGCCGCGGUAAUAC